UUAGUACUCCCUCCGUCUGAAAAUACUUGUCAUCAAAAUAGAUAAAAGAAGAUGUAUCUAGAUGUAUUUUAGUUCUAGACGCAUAAUUUUUAUCCAUUUUGAUGACAAGUAUUUUCGGACAGAGGGAGUACUGU
rfam:Triticum aestivum genome assembly, contig: Triticum_aestivum_CS42_TGACv1_scaffold_320348_4BL